rnacentral:rRNA from 1 species
GAUGAACGCUAGCGGCAGGCCUAAUACAUGCAAGCCGAACGGCAAGUUUGAUAGCAAUAUUGGACCUAGAGUGGCGCAAGGGUGCGUAACACGUAUGCAACCUGCCCGCGACAGGAGGAUAGCUCCCCGAAAGGGGAAUUAACCCUCCAUAACACCAUGAGAAGGCAUCUGAUUAUGGUUAAACCGCAAGGGGUCGCGGAUGGGCAUGCGGUUGAUUAGCUAGUUGGCGGGGUAAAGGCCCACCAAGGCGGUGAUCAAUAGGGGUUCUGAGAGGAAGGUCCCCAACACGAGCACAGAGAUACGGGCCAAACCCCGACGGGAGGAAGCAGGAGGGAAUAUUGGAAAAGGGUUGCAAGACUGAACCAGCCAUGCCGCGUGCAGGAAAAAGGCCUUCUAGGUCGUAAACUGCUUUUUCCUGUGAAAAAAAACCCAGUGCGCGGGGAAUUGAGGGUAACAGGGGAAUAAGCCACGGCAAACUACGG